GCCUUCCUUUUCUUUGCCCGUGGCUAGGUGUCAAGUGAGGCCCGCACGACAGAAAAGACAAGGUGCGCGUGCUGGAACGGAUGGGCCGCCAGCACCCAUCGUGGACGUCUGACCACACCCCAUGUGUGUUAGCACCAUAGAAGGAGAUUUGAGGGCGCCGCGUGCGAUGCCCGCUGCGCCGCCGCCAACAUCUCGCUGCAGGGGAAGUAUCUCGUCGACAUGCUCCACCUGCCCUCCCAUGGGUCCGCCCCUGGCCGGCCUCUAACUCAGCUACAACACCCUCUAGCGGCAUCCAGCAGGAGCUGGUUGCAGAUCCCGCAGAUGGGGCCAAGACCGUGCGCAAGCCGGUCUUCACCACCGUCGACCAGCUGCACCCCUAGAUGCAUGGCCACACUCUUACCAUCCGCGUCAUCUCUGCCUGCACCAUCCUCGACAAAUCCUCCAUGCACAUUGGUCGUACCCGCAUCGCCCAGUGCCUCGUCGGAUACAACACCGACACCGUCCUUGUCACGCCCGCAACAAUCAGGAUACACUCACGGUGUGCUGGUGUGUGAGUGGAGGAAGAGCUUGAUGGAGGAUGAGGGAGAGGAAUCAGUAGAGCAAAUGAGCAAGACGAGACAGAUGUGUAGCUGUUGGUGUUUCUCCACUAUCGCGACCUCAAUGCGCAAGCAUGGCCUAUAUAGAGUGACGAGAACACCAUGGAAUUGAGUUGUGUUGUUGUGGUGCGGAGUAGGAGUGUCCAAGCAAGGAGAGAAUCACAGGCGAUUUCUCUCAUUGUUGUUCUGGCAUCGUUUCUGAUUCUACGUUUAAACAAAGUGUUUGUCUCAUUAGGGCGUGUUUCCUCACUUUUUCUCGCACAAGAAUCUAGUAAAAAGGUUCUCCAAAUAGGCUCUUUGACUGCUACAGUUCGUCGAUUCGAUUCUCCCAUCUAUAUCCUUUGUGGUUGCCCAUCCGGCUAUCCCAUUAUUUACCUUU